rnacentral:rRNA from 1 species
AUUGAACGCUGGCGGAAGGCCUAACACAUGCAAGUCGAACGAGUGGCGGACGGGUGAGUAUUGUCUGGGAAACUGCCCGAUGGAGGGGGAUAACUACUGGAAACGGUAGCUAAUACCGCAUAACAUCUGAUGUUCCCAGAUGGGUUUAGCUCGUAGGUGGGGUAACGGCUCACCUAGGCGACGAUCCCUAGCUGGUCUGAGAGGAUGCCCAGCCACACUGGAACUGAGAAACGGGCCAGACUCCUACGGGAGGCAGCAGUGGGGAAUAUUGCACAAUGGGCGCAAGCCUGAUGCAGCCAUGCCGCGUGUAUGAAGAAGGCCUUCGGGUUGUAAAGUACUUUCAGCGAGGAGGCGUUACUCGCAGAAGAAGCACCGGCUAACUCCGGGUCAGCAGCCGCGGUAAUAC